UGCUGCCGUGCUCCCUCCUUGAUGGUAAUGGUGUCUCUUCACAGCAGUAAAACCCUACCUAAGACAGACCCUCAGACAAGCAUUCAUAUGCACUCAUAAAGACUCCUGAGAAAAGCUUUUCCAUCCAUUAGCCAGGGUCAUUUAUUAAGGAAGAAAAGUCUCACGUUGUACACGAAGCCACUAUGAUUAUCACUGGACUUUAGGAAAACAAGCAAAAGCCUGUGUGGAGAUAAUAAAUGAUAGAGGAGAUGCGGUGGCUUAGAAGAGACUGAAGGACUCUUGCUGCUCUUCCAGAGGAACUGAGUUCAGUUCACAGCACCCACAACAGAUGGCUCCCAAGCAGCCGCAACUCCAGCUCCAGGGGAUCCUACUCCAUUUUCUAGACUCCAGGGGCAUCUGCACUCACAGGCAUGCAUGUGGACAUAUGCACACAAUUAACAAUGACUCUUAAUAAAAGUAAUA
rnacentral:sRNA from 1 species